CCCCUAGACGUUCUGGGCUGCACGCGCGCUACAAUAAUACGCACAGCGAGUAUCACCGAGCUCGAAAGGGCAAGGUAAACAAUAGAAAAGGUACUGUAAUGGUUAUAGAUCCGUGUAAUUAUUGAUCUUCAACGAGGAAUUCCUAGUAAGUAUGUGUCAUCAUCACGCACUGAUUACGUCCCUGCCCUUUGUACACACCGCCCGUCGCUCCUACCGAUUGGGUGAGCCGAUGAAACUCUCGGAUGUAGGCUAUUCAUAGCCCGCAGAAGAGAUUUGAAUCGUAGCGCUUAGAGGAAGGAGAAGUCGUAACA
rnacentral:rRNA from 1 species